GACAGAGGGGGCAAGCGUUGCUCGGAAUCACUGGGCGUAAAGGGCGCGUAGGCGGGAUGGCAAGUCGGUCGUGAAAUCCCUGGGCUCAACUCAGGGGGUCGGCCGAUACUGCCGUUCUUGAGGGAUGCAGAGGAGACUGGAAUUCUCGGUGUAGCGGUGAAAUGCGUAGAUAUCGAGAGGAACACCUGCGGCGAAGGCGGGUGCUGGGCUGACACUGACGCUGAAGCGCGAAAGCUAGGGGAGCGAACGGG
rnacentral:rRNA from 1 species